CGCUAGCUACAGGCUUAACACAUGCAAGUCGAGGGGCAGCAUUUUAGUUUGCUUGCAAACUGAAGAUGGCGACCGGCGCACGGGUGAGUAACACGUAUCCAACCUGCCGAUAACUCCGGAAUAGCCUUUCGAAAGAAAGAUUAAUACCGGAUAGCAUACGAAUAUCGCAUGAUAUUUUUAUUAAAGAAUUUCGGUUAUCGAUGGGGAUGCGUUCCAUUAGUUUGUUGGCGGGGUAACGGCCCACCAAGACUACGAUGGAUAGGGGUUCUGAGAGGAAGGUCCCCCACAUUGGAACUGAGACACGGUCCAAACUCCUACGGGAGGCAGCAGUGAGGAAUAUUGGUCAAUGGGCGAGAGCCUGAACCAGCCAAGUAGCGUGAAGGAUGAAGGCUCUAUGGGUCGUAAACUUCUUUUAUAUGGGAAUAAAGUUUUCCACGUGUGGAAUUUUGUAUGUACCAUAUGAAUAAGGAUCGGCUAACUCCGUGCCAGCAGCCGCGGUAAUACGGAGGGUCCGAGCGUUAUCCGGAUUUAUUGGGUUUAAAGGGAGCGUAGGUGGAUUGUUAAGUCAGUUGUGAAAGUUUGCGGCUCAACCGUAAAAUUGCAGUUGAAACUGGCAGUCUUGAGUACAGUAGAGGUGGGCGGAAUUCGUGGUGUAGCGGUGAAAUGCUUAGAUAUCACGAAGAACUCCGAUUGCGAAGGCAGCUCACUAGACUGUCACUGACACUGAUGCUCGAAAGUGUGGGUAUCAAACAGGAUUAGAUACCCUGGUAGUCCACACAGUAAACGAUGAAUACUCGCUGUUUGCGAUAUACAGUAAGCGGCCAAGCGAAAACAUUAAGUAUUCCACCUGGGGAGUACGCCGGCAACGGUGAAACUCAAAGGAAUUGACGGGGGCCCGCACAAGCGGAGGAACAUGUGGUUUAAUUCGAUGAUACGCGAGGAACCUUACCCGGGCUUAAAUUGCAACAGAAUAUAUUGGAAACAGUAUAGCCGUAAGGCUGUUGUGAAGGUGCUGCAUGGUUGUCGUCAGCUCGUGCCGUGAGGUGUCGGCUUAAGUGCCAUAACGAGCGCAACCCUUAUCUUUAGUUACUAACAGGUCAUGCUGAGGACUCUAGAGAGACUGCCGUCGUAAGAUGUGAGGAAGGUGGGGAUGACGUCAAAUCAGCACGGCCCUUACGUCCGGGGCUACACACGUGUUACAAUGGGGGGUACAGAAGGCGGCUACCUGGUGACAGGAUGCUAAUCCCAAAAACCUCUCUCAGUUCGGAUCGAAGUCUGCAACCCGACUUCGUGAAGCUGGAUUCGCUAGUAAUCGCGCAUCAGCCAUGGCGCGGUGAAUACGUUCCCGGGCCUUGUACACACCGCCCGUCAAGCCAUGAAAGCCGGGGGUACCUGAAGUACGUAACCGCAAGGAGCGUCCUAGGGUAAAACUGGUAAUUGGGGC
rnacentral:rRNA from 1 species